rnacentral:rRNA from 1 species
AGCGAACGCUGGCGGCAGGCCUAACACAUGCAAGUCGAACGGACCUUUCGGGGUUAGUGGCGGACGGGUGAGUAACACGUGGGAACGUGCCUUUUGGUUCGGAACAACUUGGGGAAACUUAAGCUAAUACCGGAUGUGCCCUUAGGGGGAAAGAUUUAUCGCCAUUAGAGCGGCCCGCGUCUGAUUAGCUAGUUGGUGGGGUAAGGGCCUACCAAGGCGACGAUCAGUAGCUGGUCUGAGAGGAUGAUCAGCCACAUUGGGACUGAGACACGGCCCAAACUCCUACGGGAGGCAGCAGUGGGGAAUCUUGCGCAAUGGGCGAAAGCCUGACGCAGCCAUGCCGCGUGAAUGAUGAAGGUCUUAGGAUUGUAAAAUUCUGUUCUGAGGGACGAAAUUUUUGACGGUACCUCAGGAGAAAGCACCGGCUAAUUCUGUGCCAGCAGCCGCGGUAA